AUGGCUGGCGCUGGCAGUGGCGGACCACCCGGCGGCGAUGGCAACUGCAGUGUGAUUUAUUCACCCUAUCCGCAGUCGCCGCCUCUUGCUCCUUGCCUGACCUACCUGUUCCAACACUUCGGCCUGGACAAGAUCGGCGAUAUCAUGAACCGUCCCGAUGGCAAGACGUUCGAGCAGAGGAUCGUCCACCUACGAGAGGCACUAGAUGCUUUCGAACGUGCUCGUGACAUAUUCCACGUGGUCGAGAUCGACGAGGGCGGCGACGAGGAUGAGGACGAGGAGGAUGAAAAUCUCUUAGGUGAUGAAGAUGAAGAUGAAGAAAAACCAGAUAUCGUGAAACGGCCACAUGCUCCUAUUGAAGGCGAACUGGAAUGCAAGAAGCCACAGAUAGCACAAGACUUGAGGUGCCGAUUAUGA
rnacentral:rRNA from 1 species